rnacentral:rRNA from 1 species
GACGAACGCUGGCGGCGUGCUUAACACAUGCAAGUCGAACGGAAAGGCCCUGCUUGCAGGGUACUCGAGUGGCGAACGGGUGAGUAACACGUGGGUGAUCUGCCCUGCACUUCGGGAUAAGCCUGGGAAACUGGGUCUAAUACCGGAUAGGAGCCAUUUUUAGUGUGAUGGUUGGAAAGUUUUUUCGGUGUAGGAUGAGCUCGCGGCCUAUCAGCUUGUUGGUGGGGUAAUGGCCUACCAAGGCGGCGACGGGUAGCCGGCCUGGGAGGGUGGACGGCCACAUUGGGACUGAGAUAAGGCCCAGACGCCUACGGGAGGCAGCAGUGGGGAAUAUUGCACAAUGGGCGGAAGCCUGAUGCAGCGACGCCGCGUGGGGGAUGACGGCCUUCGGGUUGUAAACUCCUUUCGCUAGGGACGAAGCUUUUUGUGACGGUACCUAGAUAAGAAGCACCGGCUAACUACGUG